CAGACAAGAGUAGGGAAGAGAGAGUCCUCUAAACAGCAUCUCCCACAGAGUCCCAAGGAUUUCCAGUACCUCAACCCAAAAUCUUUCAGAGUGGCAGUCUGUGGUUGGUAAGCUCUUACUGGAUGAGGAUCUGUAGCGUCCCAGGACUCUAGAAACACACUCUAGAAUCUACUGCGGUUGUGUCUCCUAGGUGAUUCCAAGCCCAUCGCGUUGACGGUGAAGACUAACCAUCUCAGUUCACAGCUAGAAGAUGAGACACCAGCCUCACCAUUCCCUUCAAAGACGCAUCGCCUGUGGCACCCCUCCCCCAUUCAAAGACGCAUCGCCUGUGACACCACCUCUCCCCCAUUCAAAGACGCAUCACUUGUGACACCCCUCCCCCAAACAUCCACCAUUUAUCUAAUGCCAUGCUGGGAAGCAAGCCUUUAUUACACAGGCCUUUAGGGGACCGGAUGGAGUAGCUAUGUAAUAAAAGUUUGUCCGUGCCCUGAGCAUGUGUAUAGCAUUGAG
rnacentral:lncRNA from 1 species